CCUUUACUAACAUAAAUUUUUGGUUGGUUGAUCCGUUGGUGAUUGAUUUUUGUUGGUUGUUCCAACAUCCAACAAGAUCUGAAGAUAUUUUCUAAAUAUUGGUUGGUUGGUUUAUCGUUACCCAGUUAUCAAAGUUAGAAAUGAAAGUUUAUAUUGAUCAAUUGAUUGAUUGAUUUGUUGAUUGAUGAGUGGAUUAAUUGUUAAGCAGUUAUCACAGGUAGAAAUGAAAGUUCAUAUUGAUCAAUUGAUUGAUUGAUUUGUUGAUUGAUGAGUCAAUUAUUCGUUAAGGAGGCUCGUGGUUAUAAAAAUUUAAAAAUUUUUUUUUUUCUUGUUUUCAUUACAAUUUUUUUUUACUUUAUUAGUUGUUACUUUAUUUAACAGCAAAAAUCAUUCCAAAAAGUCAAUUCGUUUUGACCCCAGAUGACUUUCAAAAUGUAUAUAUUAUCGAAAAAGCUCCAAAUUAUCUCCCUUAGGUGCAAAAAUG
rnacentral:lncRNA from 1 species